CCGCUGACGUCGUCGAGGCGCGUACUCGUCCUGCCUGUAGGGUAGUUGCCGUGAACCUGUCAGUCGCGUGACAAUUAUAUCACAUUUGUGAAGAUAUGCCAUUAAUCCCGCAGAAAGAGAUGACCAAUUCAACUGCCUGAGGAAGAGGUAGUGAAGGCAGUUAACUGAGUCCUUAGAUCCCUGAUAACCUGUGUGAGGUGGAGACAGCCCAAGGGCAGCACUUUCUGGCCAGCAUGCCCCCAAAGUACUGACACAUCUUCUGGAUCAAGAAGGUGCUUAGCCUAGUACCUGGCACACAUCAGAAUCUGAAUAAAUCAUGGAAGAAUGAAUAAGUGAAGUCCACGGAAGGACACUGAGGACAGCAUUUCAGCUCCUGAGUCUCCUCCUGACCCCAGGGCAGAAAGUUGCAUCCUUGUAACCGAGGACCCUGAGUGAAAUGUGACUUCAACAUGAUAGGCGGCAUUUAAGAUCUAAAAGAGAACACACAAAAGAAAAAUACGCCCUGAGUAGAUUUCAAAAAUGGCUAUUUCAAAAAUGCACUAAAUGAUAUUUACGUCAAGAGCACAGUCCAGUCUAAGGAUUUCCAGAUUUAUCCCUCAAUAUAUAUGCGGAGUCAACGCAAGUUGAUCAUCUAUUUUCGUGGCCAUUUAGGCCAUUUUACUUCAUCUUCAUGUUCAUCAGCUUAACUGUAAUUUUACAGCUCACCAGCACCUCUCAUAGGCAGUGGCCAUGU